GAUGAACGUUGGCGGCGUGCCUAAUACAUGCAAGUCGAACGAAGACUGUAGUAAUACUGUCUUAGUGGCGAACGGGUGAGUAACGCGUGGGUGACCUGCCCCGAAGUGUGGGAUAACAGUCCGAAAGGAUUGCUAAUACUGCAUAAUAUCCAAGAGAUUAGAUGCUUUUGGAUUAAAGGAGUAAUUCGCUUCGGGAGGGGCCCGCGUCCCAUCAGCUAGUUGGUAAGGUAAUGGCUUACCAAGGCGAUGACGGGUAGGGGGACCUGAGAGGGUGGCCCCCCACAAUGGAACUGAAACACGGUCCAUACACCUACGGGUGGCAGCAGUAGGGAAUAUUAGUAAUGGGCGAAAGCCUGAACUAGCAACGCCGCGUGUGCGAAGAAGGCCUUCGGGUUGUAAAGCACUUUUGUAGAGGAUGAGGAAGGACGGUACUCUCAGAAUAAGUCUCGGCUAACUACGUG
rnacentral:rRNA from 1 species